rnacentral:misc_RNA from 1 species
GAUGAAGAACGCAGCGAUAUGCGAUAAGUAAUGUGAAUUGCAGAAUUCAGUGAAUCAUCGAAUCUUUGAACGCACAUUGCGCCCGCCAGUAUUCUGGCGGGCAUGCCUGUUCGAGCGUCAUUUAAACCUUCAAGCUAAGCUUGGUGUUGGGUGACUGUCCGCUUCACGGCGGACUCGCCUCAAAAUUAUUGGCGGCCGGUACAUUGGCUUCGAGCGCAGCAGAAACGCGAACUCGGGCCCGUCGUAUUGGCUCCCAGAAGCUAUCUUCACAAUUUUGACCUCGGAUCAGGUAGGGAUACCCGCUGAACUUAAGCAUAUCAAUAAGCGGAGGA